rnacentral:rRNA from 1 species
AUGAACGCUAGCUACAGGCUUAACACAUGCAAGUCGAGGGGCAGCAUGGUCUUAGCUUGCUAAGGCUGAUGGCGACCGGCGCACGGGUGAGUAACACGUAUCCAACCUGCCGUCUACUCUUGGCCAGCCUUCUGAAAGGAAGAUUAAUCCAGGAUGGGAUCAUGAGUUCACAUGUCCGCAUGAUUAAAGGUAUUUUCCGGUAGACGAUGGGGAUGCGUUCCAUUAGAUAGUAGGCGGGGUAACGGCCCACCUAGUCAACGAUGGAUAGGGGUUCUGAGAGGAAGGUCCCCCACAUUGGAACUGAGACACGGUCCAAACUCCUACGGGAGGCAGCAGUGAGGAAUAUUGGUCAAUGGGCGAUGGCCUGAACCAGCCAAGUAGCGUGAAGGAUGACUGCCCUAUGGGUUGUAAACUUCUUUUAUAAAGGAAUAAAGUCGGGUAUGCAUACCCGUUUGCAUGUACUUUAUGAAUAAGGAUCGGCUAACUCCGUGCCAGCAGCCGCGGUAAUACGGAGGAUCCGAGCGUUAUCCGGAUUUAUUGGGUUUAAAGGGAGCGUAGAUGGAUGUUUAAGUCAGUUGUGAAAGUUUGCGGCUCAACCGUAAAAUUGCAGUUGAUACUGGAUGUCUUGAGUGCAGUUGAGGCAGGCGGAAUUCGUGGUGUAGCGGUGAAAUGCUUAGAUAUCACGAAGAACUCCGAUUGCGAAGGCAGCCUGCUAAGCUGCAACUGACAUUGAGGCUCGAAAGUGUGGGUAUCAAACAGGAUUAGAUACCCUGGUAGUCCACACGGUAAACGAUGAAUACUCGCUGUUUGCGAUAUACGGCAAGCGGCCAAGCGAAAGCGUUAAGUAUUCCACCUGGGGAGUACGCCGGCAACGGUGAAACUCAAAGGAAUUGACGGGGGCCCGCACAAGCGGUGGAGUAUGUGGUUUAAUUCGAAGCAACGCGAAGAACCUUACCAGGCCUUGACAUCCCUUGCAGAGGUAUAGAGAUAUAUCCGAGGUUAUCAAGGAGACAGGUGGUGCAUGGUUGUCGUCAGCUCGUGCCGUGAGGUGUCGGCUUAAGUGCCAUAACGAGCGCAACCCUUGUUGUCAGUUACUAACAGGUGAUGCUGAGGACUCUGACAAGACUGCCAUCGUAAGAUGUGAGGAAGGUGGGGAUGACGUCAAAUCAGCACGGCCCUUACGUCCGGGGCUACACACGUGUUACAAUGGGGGGUACAGAGGGCCGCUACCACGCGAGUGGAUGCCAAUCCCUAAAACCCCUCUCAGUUCGGACUGGAGUCUGCAACCCGACUCCACGAAGCUGGAUUCGCUAGUAAUCGCGCAUCAGCCACGGCGCGGUGAAUACGUUCCCGGGCCUUGUACACACCGCCCGUCAAGCCAUGGGAGCCGGGGGUACCUGAAGUGCGUAACCGCGAGGAUCGCCCUAGGGUAAAACUGGUGACUGGGGCU